rnacentral:rRNA from 1 species
UACGCAGGUGGCAAGCGUUAUCCGGAAUUAUUGGGCGUAAAGCGCGCGCAGGCGGUUUCUUAAGUCUGAUGUGAAAGCCCACGGCUCAACCGUGGAGGGUCAUUGGAAACUGGGGGAACUUGAGUGCAGAAGAGAAAAGCGGAAUUCCACGUGUAGCGGUGAAAUGCGUAGAGAUGUGGAGGAACACCAGUGGCGAAGGCGGCUUUUUGGUCUGUAACUGACGCUGAGGCGCGAAAGCGUGGGGAGCAAACAGG